rnacentral:rRNA from 1 species
GAACGGGUGAGUAACACGUGGGUGAUCUGCCCUGCACUUUGGGAUAAGCCUGGGAAACUGGGUCUAAUACCAGAUAGGACCAYGGUGUGGUGAUCGUGGUGGAAAGUUUUUUCGGUGUGGGAUGAGCUCGCGGCCUAUCAGCUUGUUGGUGGGGUAAUGGCCUACCAAGGCGUCGACGGGUAGCCGGCCUGAGAGGGUGUACGGCCACAUUGGGACUGAGAUACGGCCCAGACUCCUACGGGAGGCAGCAGUGGGGAAUAUUGCACAAUGGGCGCAAGCCUGAUGCAGCYACGCCGCGUGGGGGAUGACGGCCUUCGGGUUGUAAACUCCUUYCGCCAAAGACGAAUUUUGAACGGUAUUUGGAGAAGAAGCACCSGCUAACUACGUKCCAGCAGCCGCG